ACCCAACUGACGAAUCCCAAAUAGGACGAAACGCGGGUCCUGAAU
rnacentral:hammerhead_ribozyme from 1 species